rnacentral:rRNA from 1 species
UGAACAGAGAAAAGCCCAGCGCUAAAUCAUUUGAUUGUCAUAAUCAUUUUGAGCUGUAGCGUAUAGAUGCAAUUAUCUUAUUAUUUUGUGCACUCAAAGUUCCCUUGAGCGGGGCUACAGUCCAUAGAAGGUGCUAGACCUGUACGGGUGACAAAAUUUUAAGUCGAUUGCUUCUUGGAGUCGGGUUGCCUGAGAUUGCAGCCCAAAGUGGGUGGUAGACCUCAUCUAAGGCUAAAUAUGGCCACGAGACCGAUAGCAAACAAGUACCGUGAGGGAAAGUUGAAAAGAACUAUGAGAAUAGAGUUAAAGGAGGACGUGAAACCGCUGGGAUGGAAACGAAUAGAGUUGACGAAACCUAUUGUCAUUCAACCGAUUAACUUUGCGGCUUUUUGACGUUGUACCGCACAAUUAUUUUGCUGGACAACGACAAGAAAUGCUGUUAAGUAGCAAGUGUGGCCUGUGUAAUUGGUGCAUUUGAUGGUAGUACGCGCCGAGUGCUGCGUUGUUGUGCGACAAAACGUAUGUAGUAGCCCGUACAAUUUUUGUGCGGAAGCUUGCAUGCGUAAAAGCGUAUCGACAAUGCGGUAGUUUUGCAUACUUUCGCCUUAUGGUGCGUUACUGUUCGUUACGAUUGGUAUAUCUAUGGUGCAAUCGCUUGCGUAUUGUCCGUAGUUUGUGCUAAUCAAGCGGUGCAGGUUAACGCGUUAAAGUUGCGU